CCUGAAAGUGCAACUAAUCCCCGGGUGGUUUUGGUAAUUAAUAACAACAUAUAUAUCAUUGAACUAAUAGUUUCUUGAGAAUCAUUUCAGAAAGUUCAGUGAUAUGGGUAUGGCAAGGACUGAAGAAGUGGACCCCUCAAAAUGCUAAGGCAAGCAUUGGCAAAAGCUCAAGACUCCAUUUUUGGUUUAGUGAUCCAAGAUCACAUUGAGUCCAUAGGAAAGCCAAUACUAUUAAAAGGGGAUGAGGUUAUGAUGAUGAUCUGGUUGCUCAAGUGCUUAGUGAUACAUCUCCUAAACUAUCAGCAACUUUCACUGCCAUAUACACUCAUAAGUAAUCUCGGUCCCACCGAUAUUCCAAACUCAGUCACACCGAGAUGAACCACCUCAGCCAUAAAGCCAAACCCUAGAAAACUCGGAUUUUCCGAUUCUGAACUCGGUCUCACCGAAACUUGAGUCGCCAAGCUUCUGUAACCUUCUGCCAUCAAAUCGGUGUCACCGAGAUGAUGAAGUCGGUCCCACCGAAAUUGGCAAGCUCUUGUCAUUGCACGAAUCGGACUAACCGAGAUUGUAUUUUCGGUCCCACCGAAAAUCCCAACGUUCACAUUAUUUGAACUUUCGGUCUCACCGAGUUGUCAACUUCGGUCCCACCGAGAUUGCUCAAAUGUGUGUAACGGUUGGAUUUUGUGUGGAGGCUAUAAAUACCCCUCCACCCCCUCUUCAUUCGUGGAGAGAGCCAUCAGAAAGAACUACCACUCCUACCUUACAUUUCUGAGAAGAGAACUACCUACCCUUGUGUUGAGAUCAAGUUGCUCCACUUCCACCAUAUGAAGCUUGAUCUCUAGCCUUCACAAGUUGCUUUCCACUCAAUCCUUUCUUCCACCACAGCCAAAUCAGUGAGGAGAGUUGAGUGUUGGGGAGAUUAUCAUUUGAAGCACAAGAGCAAGGAGUUCAUCAUCAUCAACAACAUCUAUUACCUUUUGGAGGGUGGUGCCUCCUAGAUUGGUUAGGUGUCGCUUGGGAGCCUCCGUCGAGAUGUGGAGUUGAACCAAGAAGUUUGUAAGGGCAAGGAGAUCGCCUACUUCGUGAAGAUCUACCCCGAGUAAGGCUAGCCCUCCGUGGGCGUAGGCCAUGAUGGAAUAGACAAGGUUGCUUCUUCGUGGACCCUUCGUGGGUGGAGCCCUCCGUGGACUCUCGCAGCCGUUACCCUCCGUGGGUUGAAGUCUCCAUCAACGUGGAAGUACGAUAGCACCACCUAUCGGAACCACGAGAAAAAUCAUCGCGUCUCCAAAAUUGCGUUUGCUCUUCUCCACCUCUCUUUACUACAUGUGCAAUUUACUUUCCGCUGCCUAUACUCUAGAAUUGCAUGUGUAGGGUGAUGCUUGACUUGAUCGUAAUUGUGAAUCUGCCAAAAACUGUUCUUUGUCAAAAGGCAGAAUUUUUAUAUUGUCAAGUAGUCUAAUCACCCCCCUCUAGACAUACUUUCGAUCCUACAAGUGGUAUCAGAGCUUUGAUCUCCAUUGUAUUGGUUUCCAUUGCAUUGGACUCCAUAAGCUUGGUUUCACAACCUAGGAGAGUAUGGCGUCUAGUGAGGGUAAUUUUUGUAGAGGUCCUUACUUUGAUGGUACAAAUUUUGCUAGUUGGAAGCAUAAAAUGAAAAUGCAUAUUCUUGGCCAUAACCCAGCCGCAUGGGGCAUUAUUUGUGUUGGUAUUCAAGGUGAAUUCUUCGAGGAAGGAAAAGUUCCGGAUCGCGAAGCUACAACGGAAGAAUUGCGGAUGUUGCAAAACAAUGCUCAAGCUUGUGACAUUCUCUUCAAUGCCUUGUGUCCCGAGGAGUUCAACAAAAUCAGCCGUCUUGAGAAUGCAAAAGAGAUUUGGGAUACUUUGGUUGAAAUGCACGAAGGUACCGAGUCUGUGAAGGAAUCAAAGCUAGAUGUUCUUCAAGGUCAACUUGACAAGUUCAAGAUGAGGGAUGGUGAAGGUGUCGCUGAAAUGUACUCUAGGCUUGCUCUCAUCACAAAUGAGAUUGCCGGCUUAGGAAGCGAAGAAAUGACCGACCGAUUCAUCAUCAAGAAGAUUCUCAGAGCUUUGGAUGGAAAGUAUGACACCGUGUGCACUUUGAUCCAAAUGAUGCCAAACUACAAGAAUCUCAAGCCAACCGAAGUCAUUGGAAGAAUUGUUGCUCAUGAGAUGACACUUAAGGAUAAGGAAGAGCUUCACAACAAGUCAAGUGGUGCUUACAAAGCUACAAGUGAUGCUCCCACAACCUCAAGUGACAAGUUGGUUUCAAAUGAAGAGAUAAGCCUAAUGGUCAAGAACUUCAACAAAUUCUACAAGAAUAAAAGCAAAGAGAGAAGCUCAAAAUCUAGAUCAUAUGAUGAAAAGAGAUCUUCUAGUCGUGAUCGAAACUGCUACAAUUGUGGAAGACCCGGACACUACUCAAAUGAGUGUACGGCUCCCCACAAGAGAAGAGAAGAAUCUCCAAGAAGAAGAAGCUCAAGAGAUGAGUCACCUCGGAAAGAGAGAAGGAGCAGAGAUGAUCGUUAUGAACGAAGACCCUCUCGGAGAAGCAAGGAUUCGGAGAGGAAAGACAAGUCAUCAAGGAGCUACACAAGAAGAAAACAUCAAGCUCAUGUAGGUGAAUGGGUCUCCGGCUCCGACUCCGACAAUCAAUCCGAAGGAAGCUAUCACUCCAACUCCGACUACAGUCAAGAUGAAGGUGUUGCCGGUCUUGCUCUCGUAUCCUCCAACUCCAACUUCUACGACUUAUUUGAUUCACCAAAUGAGGGAAUUGGAAGAUGCUUCAUGGCUAAAGGCCCCAAGGUAUCACACCCUGAAUUUAUUGACUUCAAUAGUGAUGAGGAUGACUUGCUUGGUGAAGAUGAGCUCUUACAUGAUAAAUCCAGUGAGCCUAGUAAUGAUGAACAUGCUAGUAGUCUUUAUAGUCGAGAAGAGUCGAAUGACAAUGCUAUGAAGGAGAUUGAGCGUCUAACUAAAGAACUAAACACUCUUAAGUUAGCUCAUGAAACAACUCAAGAAGAUCAUAGAGAGCUCCUAAGAUCUCAUGAGAAGCGACGCUUCGAGAAGCUCACUCUAGAGCAAGAACAUGAGUUUCUAAAAGCAAUCAAUGAUGAUCUUCGAAAGAAGAGUUCUUCAUAUCUUGCCAAACGACUUCUCUUGUCUAAUUUCUUGCCACCCAUUAAAACUAAGCAUGACAAGCAUAAGAAAAAUUCUUCUUCUAGUAGUAACAAUAACCAUGCUAAAUCCAAUAUUGUUGCUUCUAGUAGUUCUCUUGAUUCCACUAACCAUGUUUCAAGCCAAGUUACACUUGAGCAAGAAAAUAGUUUAUUGAAAGGGAUUAUAGAGAAAGGUGUCUACAAGAGCCUUGCCGGAAGCAAGAACUUUGAGGAAAUUGUUCGCAAGCAAGGGAGGCACCGGAAGAAUCAAGGAAUUGGUUUUGAGCGAAAGUUCAACGCCGAAGGUGUUGAAUGGGAAGAAGGUCAAUAUCCUACUCCACAGUUUGUUUCUCAAAAGGAGAAGUAUGAUCCUACUUCUUCCAAUGUGGAACAAGCUCAAGAUGACCUUCCACCACAAGACCACAAGCUAAAAGGCAAGGACAAGCUUCAAGAGGAGAUUGAUGCAUUUAUUGAAGCACCUCAAGCCAUGGUCAAGUGGGUUCCCAAGGAAACGUCAAGUUCUACUUCGUCAAGCUCAACUACAACCCCAAGGAUUCCCAUCAAGAUGAUGUGGAUCCCGAAGAAGAAGAACUAGAAAGUUCUUGAGGGUGACUCCGCCAACAUACUUCACUCACAUUCAUUUUGGCAAAAACUUGUGCAAUCAACUUCCACAUCGUGCACUAGUUCAUGGAGUCACAAACCCUCUUGUUGGUAAGUCAAGGGACAAGGUAAUCAUUGCUUUCAUGGACAUCAUCUAUUGUGUACUUCAAUCUAUGUCCAUGGAUAUCCUUGUUUGUUCCUUGUGGGACUAACCCAUGUAGGUAUUGAAAGUGCCCGAAUCCAAAGGAUAGCUCCCAACUCUUGAUGAUCUUCAUCAACAUUGAGCAUCCACAUCUUCAACAUCUACAUGAAGUCUUCUACGACAACCCAAGGUUAGUUUGACCCUUUAAAAGGGGUUCUCACAUCUAGGGGGAGCUUUGCUCUAAAGAAUUGAGCUAAAGCAUCUUCAAAUGAUGUGAACACAUCAAUGCUUUAUGUAAAAGUGGUAACCCCACUUGUGCUUAAACGAUGAGUAUGACCUAUGAUCAAAUGUUCUCAUUUGGCUCCUAAGUCAAUAUACUCAUAUAAAGAUGACCUAGUCAUCGACAAAUUGUGUGUUAGUUGCUAGAGUUUUUGUUGUGCAUGUUUGACACAUAUUUCAUUUGCUAUCUUAUUGUGUGAGCAUGUUGGAUGCAUGAUUUUAUCCAUUCGAGGACAUCCAUUUGUUGUUUUGGUCGUUUUGAUUUUUCUGACCAAAUGGAUGGACAAGAAUGCCUAAGUACCUCCCCUAGCUAUCUAUGCUUUCUUGUCUCAAAUUCUAUUCAUGCUUACAUCACAAACUUUGAACAAGUCAUUUUCGGACCCUCCGGGUGAGGAGCACUCGGAGCCACCGAUCCGUCAAGGGCUAACUUCCAAAACCUUCUAAUUGAUUUCGGUCAGACCAACCCACUCAAACUCGGUCGAACCAAAAGCAUUUAGACUGAUCUAGGUUUUCACCUCGGUGAAACCGAGUUGUGAUUUUCGGCGUGACCGAAGUGCAUAACUGCCCAGCAGUUAUCCAUCUCGGUGCCACCGAGUUUAACCACUCGGUCCCACCGACAGCAAAGGGGUAUAUAUACUCCAAGGGCCGCGCGCGUUGAUUUCUCCUUCAAACGUUUCGCCCCCACACCCCUUGCUGCCGUCGCCUUGGUCUCCGGAUCGUCGCCGUCGUCGCCUGUGCGCCCUCACCGCGGGUCUCCGUCGCCGUCAACGGACAUCUUCUCCGCGCCGUUGCCGCCGUAGAAAAACUCCACCAAGUUAGGGUGAGUUUUGAUCCCACUCGUGCUCCCAUCUCCGAUUCAAUGCACGUUUGGUUUGCCUAGAAUCUUGCCAUGAUUGAAAUCCUCCUGUACACCAGAUUAGUUCGUUUGAACUAGAUUCGAGUAAAAGUUUUAGGGUUAGGUUUCCGCCGAACACAUCUCAGUGAGACCGAUUUUACAUUUUCGGUAUGACCGAUUUGGCCUAUGGCCAUUGCACUGCACCCUUCGGUCCAACCGAGUAGUGCAAAUCGGUGUGACCGAAAUGAGGAUUCUGUGAAACCCUAGUGUUUUCGGUAGGACCGAAACCCACUUCGGUCAAACCGAAAGUGGUGUGAAAGCUUCUGUUUAACACUUCGGAUUCACCGAAUCUUAAACUCGGUCUGACCGAAAUGUCUUCUGUGAAAACCUAAUACUGGAAUUUGAACUCAUUUUUUUGCAAAAACUUCUACAGUUUGUGAUGACUCUUCUUCUCUGCCUACACCUUAUCUAUUCACAGGUUGUCAGCCAUGUCAGAUGCCAGUGACAGUCAGAACAGGUCAGAGACACCCAUUGCAGAUAUUCCAGAGGCAGGCACUAGUCCUGAUCCUAGCAGCUCAUCAGAUGAUGGUGAGAGGAGUACACCAAGUGGAUUGCCUCCUGCAGCCAGAGCAUGAAGACAAUGAUGUUGUGAUGGAUGAGGAGGACCCAACAUCUGUUGAAGGUCAAGCCAAGAUCGAAGCUGCCAAGAAAGCCAAAGCUGACAAGGAAGCAGCAGCAGCAGCAGCUAAACCAAAGAGCUUCGGAGAGCAGAUUCUUGAAGCUACCCAAAGGAUUGAACAACGCCUGGCCAGCAUUGUACAGUCUCAGGAGAGCCUAGAGAGGAUUGUUGAGGACAAGAUCCACGCUCUGGAUGUGAAGCUGACUGAAGUGCAAGUGACCGUCAACAAGCUUGAGGCAGACAUUGAGGAAGCAAAGCGGGAGAAGGAAGAGCUUAUGCGAGAGAUGCAGGAUGACUUAGUCCAGGAUGCUUAUCAACAGACUGCUCCGGUUCCCACAGGACCCCGAUCAGCUGCUAUUCCAGUGACUGACACCAGGACUACAGCUUCAGCACCUCCCACAGUUCCAGCAGUUACUCCUACUCCAGCUCCAGCUCCAGUGACCACUCCUCCAGCACAGACAUCAGCUGAAGUCUUCGCCGAUGCUGUCAUAUCAACUCCAACAUCAACCCAGACGGGAGCCGCCAGCAGAGUCCCCAGUGACGCUUAGCUCUAUGCUUUUUCGAACUUUUUGGUAACUUGUUGCCAAAGGGGGAGAAAUUGUAUAGAUCAUAGGACUUCGAGAGAGAGAGAGUGUUGUUGUCGCUUUUGCUCUUUCGUUCUUUUGCGGUUUCUUUGAGAUACUUUUGGUUUUCGAGACAUUCAGUGUGUUUGAUAUGUGUUUGAUACUACGUUCGAUUCUACCUUAAUGAGUGCUUGGUCGUACUAUGCUUUAAUGUGUGCUUAAUGCUUAUCAUAUGCUUUUCCUAUCUUGUAUGACCAUUUACUCAUGUCUUGGUGAUUGGGUGCAUGCUAUUCAUUCUUAUCAUUUUGUGCGCUCCACCAAGAUGUAUGUGACAUGGAAGAGUGACCCAUGAUCCUAAUCGAUUGUGCAUUUGCAUUCAAACGCAAAUCUUAAAUAAUGCACAAAUUUAGGGGGAGCUCUUGCUUAUCACAUACUUCUCAAAGCGACGAUAUUAUUCAUUGAUUAUAUCCUUUGUCGAAGCUUUGAUCUAUAUGUUGUCAUCAAUUACCAAAAAGGGGGAGAUUGAAAGUGCAACUAAUCCCCGGGUGGUUUUGGUAAUUAAUAACAACAUAUAUAUCAUUGAACUAAUAGUUUCUUGAGAAUCAUUUCAGAAAGUUCAGUGAUAUGGGUAUGGCAAGGACUGAAGAAGUGGACCCCUCAAAAUGCUAAGGCAAGCAUUGGCAAAAGCUCAAGACUCCAUUUUUGGUUUAGUGAUCCAAGAUCACAUUGAGUCCAUAGGAAAGCCAAUACUAUUAAAAGGGGAUGAGGUUAUGAUGAUGAUCUGGUUGCUCAAGUGCUUAGUGAUACAUCUCCUAAACUAUCAGCAACUUUCACUGCCAUAUACACUCAUAAGUAAUCUCGGUCCCACCGAUAUUCCAAACUCAGUCACACCGAGAUGAACCACCUCAGCCAUAAAGCCAAACCCUAGAAAACUCGGAUUUUCCGAUUCUGAACUCGGUCUCACCGAAACUUGAGUCGCCAAGCUUCUGUAACCUUCUGCCAUCAAAUCGGUGUCACCGAGAUGAUGAAGUCGGUCCCAUCGAAAUUGGCAAGCUCUUGUCAUUGCACGAAUCGGACUAACCGAGAUUGUAUUUUCGGUCCCACCGAAAAUCCCAACGUUCACAUUAUUUGAACUUUCGGUCUCACCGAGUUGUCAACUUCGGUCCCACCGAGAUUGCUCAAAUGUGUGUAACGGUUGGAUUUUGUGUGGAGGCUAUAAAUACCCCUCCACCCCCUCUUCAUUCGUGGAGAGAGCCAUCAGAAAGAACUACCACUCCUACCUUACAUUUCUGAGAAGAGAACUACCUACCCUUGUGUUGAGAUCAAGUUGCUCCACUCCCACCAUAUGAAGCUUGAUCUCUAGCCUUCCCAAGUUGCUUUCCACUCAAUCCUUUCUUCCACCACAGCCAAAUCAGUGAGGAGAGUUGAAUGUUGGGGAGAUUAUCAUUUGAAGCACAAGAGCAAGGAGUUCAUCAUCAUCAACAACAUCUAUUACCUUUUGGAGGGUGGUGCCUCCUAGAUUGGUUAGGUGUCGCUUGGGAGCCUCCGUCGAGAUGUGGAGUUGAACCAAGAAGUUUGUAAGGGCAAGGAGAUCGCCUACUUCGUGAAGAUCUACCCCGAGUAAGGCUAGCCCUCCGUGGGCGUAGGCCAUGAUGGAAUAGACAAGGUUGCUUCUUCGUGGACCCUUCGUGGGUGGAGCCCUCCGUGGACUCUCGCAGCCGUUACCCUCCGUGGGUUGAAGUCUCCAUCAACGUGGAAGUACGAUAGCACCACCUAUCGGAACCACGAGAAAAAUCAUCGCGUCUCCAAAAUUGCGUUUGCUCUUCUCCACCUCUCUUUACUACAUGUGCAAUUUACUUUCCGCUGCCUAUACUCUAGAAUUGCAUGUGUAGGGUGAUGCUUGACUUGAUCGUAAUUGUGAAUCUGCCAAAAACUGUUCUUUG
rnacentral:lncRNA from 1 species